rnacentral:rRNA from 1 species
CCUACGGGAGGCUGCAGUGGGGAAUAUUGGACAAUGGGCGAAAGCCUGAUCCAGCCAUGCCGCGUGUGUGAAGAAGGCCUUCGGGUUGUAAAGCACUUUCAGUGGGGAAGAAAGCCUUGGGGCUAAUACCCUCGAGGAAGGACAUCACCCACAGAAGAAGCACCGGCUAACUCCGUGCCAGCAGCCGCGGUAAUACGGAGGGUGCGAGCGUUAAUCGGAAUUACUGGGCGUAAAGCGCGCGUAGGCGGUCUGAUAAGCCGGUUGUGAAAGCCCCGGGCUCAACCUGGGAACGGCAUCCGGAACUGUCAGUCUUGAGUGCAGGAGAGGAAGGUAGAAUUCCCGGUGUAGCGGUGAAAUGCGUAGAGAUCGGGAGGAAUACCAGUGGCGAAGGCGGCCUUCUGGACUUACACUGACGCUGAGGUGCGAAAGCGUGGGUAGCAAACAGGAUUAGAUACCCUAGUAGUC